UACAGAGGGGGCAAGCGUUGUUCGGAAUUACUGGGCGUAAAGGGCGCGUAGGCGGCCUUCUAAGUCGAACGUGAAAUCCCUGGGCUCAACCCAGGAACUGCGUCCGAUACUGGGAGGCUUGAAUCCGGGAGAGGGAUGUGGAAUUCCAGGUGUAGCGGUGAAAUGCGUAGAUAUCUGGAGGAACACCGGUGGCGAAGGCGGCAUCCUGGACCGGUAUUGACGCUGAUGCGCGAAAGCGUGGGGAGCAAACAGG
rnacentral:rRNA from 1 species